rnacentral:rRNA from 1 species
AAAGAAACUAACAAGGAUUCCCCUAGUAAGCGCGAGCGAAGCGGGAAGAGCUCAAAUUUAUAAUCUGGCACCUUCGGUGUCCGAGUUGUAAUCUCUAGAAAUGUUUUCCGCGUUGGACCGCACACAAGUCUGUUGGAAUACAGCGGCAUAGUGGUGAGACCCCCGUAUAUGGUGCGGACGCCCAGCGCUUUGUGAUACAUUUUCGAAGAGUCGAGUUGUUUGGGAAUGCAGCUCAAAUUGGGUGGUAAAUUCCAUCUAAAGCUAAAUAUUGGCGAGAGACCGAUAGCGAACAAGUACCGUGAGGGAAAGAUGAAAAGCACUUUGGAAAGAGAGUUAACAGUACGUGAAAUUGUUGGAAGGGAAACGCUUGAAGUCAGACUUGCUUGCCGAGCAAUCGGUUUGCAGGCCAGCAUCAGUUUUCCGGGAUGGAUAAUGGUAGAGAGAAGGUAGCAGUUUCGGCUGUGUUAUAGCUCUCUGCUGGAUACAUCUUGGGGGACUGAGGAACGCAGUGUGCCUUUGGCGGGGGUUUCGACCUCUUCACACUUAGGAUGCUGGUGGAAUGGCUUUAAACGACCCGUCUUGAAACACGGACCAAGGAGUCUAACAUGCUUGCGAGUAUUUGGGUGUCAAACCCGGAUGCGUAAUGAAAGUGAAUGGAGGUGGGAACCGCAAGGUGCACCAUCGACCGAUCUGGAUUUUUAAUGAUGGAUUUGAGUAAGAGCACGUAUGUUGGGACCCGAAAGAUGGUGAACUAUGCCUGAAUAGGGCGAAGCCAGAGGAAACUCUGGUGGAGGCUCGUAGCGGUUCUGACGUGCAAAUCGAUCGUCAAAUUUGGGUA